UGUCAUGUCCUGCCCCAAACUCUUUCUGCUGUGAUGUUUCUGAUCAGGUCUGAUUUUGUUUCUGGCUGUGUGUUGCAGGAUGUUCACCUCUUCUGUCUACGGUCCUGUUUUCUUUUGCAUCAGUUUGCUGAGUGCAUACUCGGUGCGUCCCACCACUGGCACAAGAAGAAGAGCCGUAAACAAGACAUCCUGAAUAAGCUUUUCUGUCAAUGUGGGUUUGUGGAAACAGAUGACCUACAAUGGAUUGCCUGCAAUAGUUGCAACAAGUGGUUCCAUCAGGGAUGCGUCAACUCUCCAGCAGUGGACAAAGAAUAGCAAUGCGUUGUGUGCAUAUUUUAUUUUUAUUUCAUUGUGUUGAAAUGCCCUUUUUUAUACUUUUAUUUAUAUUUUUGCUGUAUGUUCAAUUGAUUUUAUUAAAACUGUACAUAGUUCCAUGUUGACUUUUUAUUAAAUUAUUUGAAUUAAAUUGCUUUUGCCUAAUUAAUUACUGUAGCAUAAAUUGUUUUACUUAUUAUAUGUAUGUGCAAAUUAUAUUUGACCCAUAUUACAUGUUUGAUUUAAAUAUUAAAAUGUAAUAGAUCUGACAAUUAUUUAGCAUUUUUUUCAUUGUUAUAAAACACAUAACUUUAUCUGGC
ensembl:lncRNA